GACAGAGGAUGCAAGCGUUAUCCGGAAUGAUUGGGCGUAAAGCGUCUGUAGGUGGCUUUUUAAGUCUGCCGUCAAAUCCCAGGGCUUAACCCUGGACAGGCGGUGGAAACUACCAAGCUGGAGUACGGUAGGGGCAGAGGGAAUUUCCGGUGGAGCGGUGAAAUGCGUAGAGAUCGGAAGAACACCGGUGGCGAAGGCGCUCUGCUAGGCCGUAACUGACACUGAGGGACGAAAGCUAGGGGAGCGAAUGGG
rnacentral:rRNA from 1 species